rnacentral:rRNA from 1 species
UACGUAGGGGGCAAGCGUUGUCCGGAAUUAUUGGGCGUAAAGAGCGUGUAGGCGGCCAGAUAAGUCCGCUGUGAAAUCUCGAGGCUCAACUUCGAGCUGUCGGUGGAAACUAUCUGGCUAGGGUCCGGAAGAGGAGAAUGGAAUUCCUGGUGUAGCGGUGAAAUGCGUAGAGAUCAGGAAGAACAUCGGUGGCGAAGGCGCUCUGCUGGACCAUAACUGACACUCAGGGACGAAAGCUAGGGGAGCGAAUGGG